GUAAGGAAUAUUGGUCAAUGGACGAAAGUCUGAACCAGCCAUGCCGCGUGAAGGAUGAAGGCCCUCUGGGUUGUAAACUUCUUUUAUCUGGGACGAAAAAAGGGUAUUCUUACUCACUUGACGGUACCAGAGGAAUAAGCACCGGCUAACUCCGUGCCAGCAGCCGCGGUAAUACGGAGGGUGCAAGCGUUAUCCGGAUUCACUGGGUUUAAAGGGUGCGUAGGUGGGUAUUUAAGUCAGUGGUGAAAUCUCCGAGCUUAACUCGGAAACUGCCAUUGAUACUAUUUACCUUGCAUGCCCUGGAGGUAAGCGGAAUAUGUCAUGUAGCGGUGAAAUGCUUAGAUAUGACAUAGAACACCAAUUGCGAAGGCAGCUUACUACGGGGUGAUUGACACUGAGGCACGAAAGCGUGGGGAGCAAACAGGAUUAGAAACCCUGGUAGUCC
rnacentral:rRNA from 1 species